AGCUUUGCACAGUGGCAGUAUCAUAGCCAAUAAAGUUUAUCUGAGGCCCAAUUAUUGCUAAUUGAAACAUGAGAAGACAAAAGAACAAACUCCUUUCCAAAAUUAUCAGUUCCCCCAAAGCCAAUCCUGCGGGAAUUGAGAGGGG
rnacentral:snRNA from 1 species